rnacentral:rRNA from 1 species
GACGAACGCUGGCGGCGUGCUUAACACAUGCAAGUCGAACGGAAAGGCCCUGCUUUUGUGGGGUGCUCGAGUGGCGAACGGGUGAGUAACACGUGAGUAACCUGCCCUUGACUUUGGGAUAACUUCAGGAAACUGGGGCUAAUACCGGAUAGGAGCUCCUGCUGCAUGGUGGGGGUUGGAAAGUUUCGGCGGUUGGGGAUGGACUCGCGGCUUAUCAGCUUGUUGGUGGGGUAGUGGCUUACCAAGGCUUUGACGGGUAGCCGGCCUGGGAGGGUGACCGGCCACAUUGGGACUGAGAUACGGCCCAGACUCCUACGGGAGGCAGCAGUGGGGAAUAUUGCACAAUGGGCGGAAGCCGGAUGCAGCAACGCCGCGUGCGGGAUGACGGCCUUCGGGUUGUAAACCGCUUUCGCCUGUGACGAAGCGUGAGUGACGGUAAUGGGUAAAGAAGCACCGGCUAACUACGUG